ACAUAACCCACGUUUCAACCUAGACCAAUCCCCUCUCUCUCUUUCUCUGACCUAGAACAGGGCACCGUAGCCGCAUCUAUCUUCCUCAGUCUUCUGCAACAACAGCCGCAUAAAUAUUCUCGGAAAAUCCUUGGUCUCCCAGAACCGCGCUUCAAGUUUCCGCCAUGAAUAUCAACCUUCUUUUCAUCUCUCUGUUUCUUCAGAGGGUCGAAAGAUUUGAUGGGGGAGUGCAGUGUUGGAGGCUUGAUCCUGGUUGAUGUAGAUUUCACAGAUCCAUGAAUAUGGAAGUGAUUCAGAGAAACUCACUGCUAUGUUUUGUGGAGAAUUCAAAGGAUUCCUUCUUUCUCUGUCCUUUCCUGCAAAUGGUAGAUUGGUCUUUCUUUGUUGUUAAUCUCUCUGUUUUUUUUUGGCUUCAAUUUGAGGUUGGCUCUCUGGUUUCAAUUGACUUUCAAAUCUGAACAAUUUUGCUUUGCUUUUUUUUUGGUUUUUUAGAGGGUCUUCUUUCUCAGAUUCCAACUUUCAAUUCUAAAUCUUCUGUCCCUGCUAAAGCCCUACUGACAACUUGUUUUGGUUAUCUUCUGUUGUUUGGCCUUUCUCUGGUUUGCUCUUUUCUGUCUUUUUUUCUUCUAGAAUUCUGCGGAAGAGUUGGUAGAGUUUGCAUCAUAAGUAUUUCCGCUGCCCAUCUUUGUCAAUUAAAUUGCUGAGAUCGAAUUAGAGGAUUCUUUUAUGCUGUUUGUGGAGUGACAUUAGUCUUUUCUCUGAACUUUGAUCUCUGUAUCUUUUUUCUUAGAACCCUUCACCCAUGAUUUUUUUUUUGUUCACCCCUGGUUAAUUUUGCAUAAUUACGAAAAUUGAAGUAGAGGGUGUAAUUUCAAACUUUUUCUAUCCCUCUGCUUCUUGUGUGGGUCAAGAUUUUCGUCUGUGUUUUGAGAUCUGAACUCCAUUUCAACUUCCCAGAUCUAUGGAGUGAAGAAUUCAAAUAUUACCGGUCUUGUCCUGCCAUACACCUCUCAAGGUAGAGAAAUAUUGUGUUUUUGUAUCUUCCAUACUGAGGUUUCUAUAAAUGAACUUGUACUAGAAAUAGUACUGUUUCGGGUUGUUCCGGCCAAAGUACUGUUAGAGGCCUUUUGACUAGAUGUAGGAUAGAUUUGAUUUGCAUAUUAAGUAAAUGGGAGUUUUAUUAUGUAAAGUUAUUGAAGAUUGAUAUGUUAUGGGCCAGCUAUUUCAUUUUAUUUUUGUAAAUUUUUCUUGUUAGUAAUUAAAUCUUUAUAAAUUACAAUUAUAAACUAUAUUAAAUCAGUAUUUUUGUUCUCUUUGUAUAAUAGUUGUUUUGAUGUGGAGUGAUUUAUUCUAAAACGAUUUUUACCUUUUGUAGUAGAAAAUAAAUCUUUUUAUUUUCAGAAAAUAUAUAUUUUUUUAAAUUGCUGGUAAAAGAAAAUAGUUGUCAUGGUGACGUAGUUAAUUGGGAUAAAGCCAAAUGUGCACAUUUACUCAAACGAGUAAUUUUCGACGAAAUUUAUAUUUCUUGCUUUUUAGCUAAAUUAGGGGUUUUCAGAAACUGAACUAGUGCCGCAACCCUUCUUUCUCUCUGCAACCUAAGACCUCUCUCUCUCUCUAGAACAGCACCAUAUCUCCCGUUCUGGAAAAUCCUUGGUCACGCAGAAGCGCAGCUGCUCAAGUUUUCGUUAUGAAUAUCAUCAAACUUUUGGAGAUGAUUGUCAGUGUCUUGAUCUGUUUGGAUUUGGAUUUCCCAGAUCAUUAUCUAUGGAUAGGAUUCAGGAAAAAUCACUGUUCCGUUCAAAGCACUUGUCCUGCUCUGUUCCUUCACAUGAACAGGGCAUCAUAGCCGCAUCUUUCUUUCCUCAGUCUUUCGCAACGCAAAAAUAUUUUCCGGAAAGUCCUUGGUCACCCAGAACCGCGCCUCAAGUUUCUGCCAUGAAUAUCAACCUUCUGUGUUUCUGCAGAUGGUCAAAAGAUUUGAUGGGGGAGUGAAUUGUAGCAGGCUUGAUCCUUGUUGAUGUAGAUUUCACGGAUCCAUGAAUAUGAAAGUGAUGCAGAGAAACUCACUGCUCUGUUUUGUGGAGAAUUCAAAGGAUUACUUCUUUCUCUGUCCUUUCCUGCAAAUGAUCGAUAAAUGGUGGAGGGAGUGAAGAAUUCAAAUAUUACCGCCUUACCGGUCAUGUCCUGCCAUACACCUCCCAAGAGGAUCAUAAGGAGCAGUAAAGCAGGGAGGCCUGGACAGGAAGUUUGUCCCCAUUUUUUAAUAUAAAAAAGGAGUCGUUGUUACAAGUUGAAGAGCUUCAUUAGGUCCGGUCUAGAUUUUCCAUGCCUCUGACUCGGUUCCCAGAGUAAAUAGAGACGUGAAAAGUUGCUGAUCUAUUCUUCCGCCUGAAUUUGAAGUUUAUAAUUAAAAUCUUUGGAUCUUUUGGCCUGACGCAAAUCACGCAAUCUGGUUAGUAGAAAUUGUUAUGUUUAAAAUCUGUCUUCCUUCUUAGAAUCCCUCGCACAAUAAUUCUUGGAGAAAAGUAAUUCUUACCUAUCUUUGUUAAUUACAUAUAACAAAGGUCGAACUUGAGGGUUUCCCUGUUAAAAAGUGAUGAGACCUUUUCAAUUUCUUUGUUUUUAAGGGUACAUUAGUUGUUCCUCUGGUUUACUGUUUCUUAUUGGCAAUUUUGGUUUUGAGAGGUAGAGGUUGCGGAAUAUAGUAGUCUUUGCAUAUUGUUAAUAUCUCCAGUUUAUUGGCUGAUUUUGAUUUGGCUUUAUUAGUUAUUUUUGGGUUCAAUUAAAUUUUAGAUCUGAUCAAAUUUGAUUUGCUGUUUUUGUUUUUGAGAGGAUCAUGAAAGCAGAGCCCUAGGGGCUUUGAUUAGGUCGGUCGCAUGCCUCUGAUUUGGUAAUAUCUUCGGUAAAAGUAAAGAGGCCGGACAACGUUGUAUUGGAUGAAUGAUUUAUAUAUAUACUUUUUCUUUCUUGAGAAGAAUGAAUGAUUUUAUACUGGCGGCACAUCUUUUAUCAGUUGAGUAACUUAUGAAGCUAAACCAAGCCUCUUUCUGUUCGACCUAGAACUGGGCAUCAUAGCCGCAUCUAUCUUCCUCAGUCUUUCGCAACAAUAACCGCAAAAAUAUUUUCCGGAAUAUCCUUGGUCCUCAAGUUCUGCCUCGAAUAUCCACCUUCUUUCCAUCUCUGUGUUUCUGCAGAUGGUCAAAAGAUUGGACGGGGGAGUGAAUUGUAGCAGGCUUGAUCCUUGUUGAUGUUGAUGUAGAUUUCACAGAUCCAUGAAUAUGAAAGUGAUUCAGAGAAACUCACUGCUCUGUUUUGUGGAGAAUUCAAAGGAUUACUUCUUUCUCUGUCCUUUCCUGCAAAUGAUCGAUAAUGGUGGAGGGAGUGAAGAAUUCAAAUAUUACCGGUCAUGUCCUGCCAUACACCUCUCAAGAGGAUCAUAAGGAGCAGGAGAGCAGGGAGGCCUGGACAGAAAGUUUGUCCCCAUUUUUUAAUGUAAAAAAGAAGUCGUAGUUACAAGUUGAAGAGCUUCAUUAGGUCCGGUCUAGAUUUUCCAUGCCUCUGACUCAGUUCCCAGAGUAGAUAGAGACGUGAAAAGUUGCUGAUCUAUUCUGUUUGUCUCUUCUCUUCCGCCUGAAUUUGAAGUUUAUAAUUAAAAUCUUUGGAUCUUUUGGCCUGACGCAAAUCACGCAAUCUGGUCGAUAUUGAUGGUGCUAGUUUAAAGAAACCUUUAACGCUCGAAGUGGAGGAUUCAAAGUAGCAAGCUUUGCAUGCCUCUCUCCCGUUGAGCAACGUGUGGUUCUUCUUUAAAGUAGACUUCUGAGCUCUUCAAAGAAUCCUACAAUGCCGAGAAUGGAGGAUUCAAGCUUUGCAUGCCUGCCCCAGUGUGCAGACCUGAGAUUCCUCUUUAUUGCACCCCUUCCAAUCCAGAUUAGAGGAUACCCUUUACUUCGAGGCUUACUCAUUACGUACAUCAGAGCCAAUUUGAAUUCCUUGCUUCUAAGCUCUGCAUGUUUUUCCUAAAUCUUUACCUCUUUAAUGAACAAGUUUUUUCGUAGUAUUCUGCUACUUCCAUAUUGUGCUUGAAGGAGCCAGUCAAAAUUUUGGGUGCAUGGGUUAAAAGAUGUAAAUAGUGGUGUUUAUCGUAACAGAAAGAGUAGUUUCACCAAAGCUUUUGACAGUCAAGUAGUGGUGUUUAUCGUAACAGAAAGAGUAGUUUCACCAAAGCUUUUGACAGUCAAGAUUCUGACACUGGCAUGGAAGAGGUUUCAAUAUCUCUCUGACUAGACAUAACAAUAUAUUGAUUGUGGCUGGGUUUCAGGAAAUAGCAGGUCGAUUAAGCUGCUUAAAUUAGUUACAAUAGAUUUUUUGGUGGAUUUGGAGAAAACUGAAACCGCCCUGACCCAGAUGUUUUUUUAUUUUUGUAUGUGUCAUUUUUGUAAUAAUUGUGUCAAUCUUGUAAUUACUGUGUCAUGGUUGAAUACAUGGGCUUGUAGUUGCCUCCUCAUUCUAUAAGGCCCAAUUAACCUAAUACCUAAUACCCUAGACUAUAAAUAGAACAGUAUCAUCUUCAACCUAGAAUCCUGGAUCAAAAGAAAAAAAGAGAAGCAGUGGAAAUGGUGGGUAACCACGGUAACCUGGGUAACAAGGGGAGGCUGGGUAAUAAGGGAGGGUUCAACACAAAGACGAAGAAGAAUGUUACGAUGCUUGUGAACCGGGACCCCAAAAAGGACAAGAAAUCGGAGGAGCAGAAGGCUCAGGAGCAAAGGGAAAAGCCGAAGAAGCUCAACGCCGGUCAGAAGGCUGUCUGGGAGGCUCUGUUCAGGACCUGAUGUGAUUUCAGAGGGCCCAAGCAUGAGGUAGUUGGUUGUUUCCAACUUUCAAUUUUAAAUUCUGCAAAUGGCAACUUUAUCGGGAUUAUAUGUUAUGUAAUUGAGUACUGAAUGUGUGGUAUGGACUUUAUCUCUUAAUUUAGUUCUGCGUUUGUUGGUC